rnacentral:rRNA from 1 species
GCCCAACGCAGUGGGCGUCCGACGGAAACUGCACAGCUUGGGACCGGAAGGCUCCAGGGGUACGUUCGCGGUAAGAGUGAAAUCCUAUAAUCCCGCCACGGACCACCAGAUGGCGAAAGCACUUCGAGAAAACGGAUCCGACAGUGAGGGACGAAAGCCAUGGUCUCCAACCGGAUUAGAUACCCGGGUAGUCCUGGCCG